GUGAGGAAUUUUGGACAAUGGGCGCAAGCCUGAUCCAGCAAUGCCGCGUGCAGGAAGAAGGCCUUCGGGUUGUAAACUGCUUUUGUACGGAACGAAACGGUCCUGGUUAAUACCUGGGGCUAAUGACGGUACCGUAAGAAUAAGCACCGGCUAACUACGUGCCAGCAGCCGCGGUAAUACGUAGGGUGCGAGCGUUAAUCGGAAUUACUGGGCGUAAAGCGUGCGCAGGCGGUGCUGUAAGACAGGCGUGAAAUCCCCGGGCUCAACCUGGGAAUUGCGCUUGUGACUGCAGUGCUGGAGUACGGCAGAGGGGGAUGGAAUUCCGCGUGUAGCAGUGAAAUGCGUAGAUAUGCGGAGGAACACCGAUGGCGAAGGCAGUCCCCUGGGCCUGUACUGACGCUCAUGCACGAAAGCGUGGGGAGCAAACAGGAUUAGAUACCCCAGUAGUCC
rnacentral:rRNA from 1 species